UGGGGAAUUUUGGACAAUGGGGGAAACCCUGAUCCAGCCAUCCCGCGUGUGCGAUGAAGGCCUUCGGGUUGUAAAGCACUUUGGCAGGAAAGAAACGUCGCGGGUUAAUACCCCGCGAAACUGACGGUACCUGCAGAAUAAGCACCGGCUAACUACGUGCCAGCAGCCGCGGUAAUACGUAGGGUGCAAGCGUUAAUCGGAAUUACUGGGCGUAAAGCGUGCGCAGGCGGUUCGGAAAGAAAGAUGUGAAAUCCCAGAGCUUAACUUUGGAACUGCAUUUUUAACUACCGGGCUAGAGUGUGUCAGAGGGAGGUGGAAUUCCGCGUGUAGCAGUGAAAUGCGUAGAUAUGCGGAGGAACACCGAUGGCGAAGGCAGCCUCCUGGGAUAACACUGACGCUCAUGCACGAAAGCGUGGGGAGCAAACAGGAUUAGAUACCCUGGUAGUCCACGCCCUAAACGAUGUCAACUAGCUGUUGGGGCCUUCGGGCCUUGGUAGCGCAGCUAACGCGUGAAGUUGACCGCCUGGGGAGUACGGUCGCAAGAUUAAAACUUAAAUGAAUUGACGGGGGUCAUAGCUGUUU
rnacentral:rRNA from 1 species